AUCCGCCUGGGAAGUACGGUCGCAAGAUUAAAAUCAAAGGAAUUGACGGGGGCCUGCACCAAGCGGUGGAGCAUGUGGUUUAAUUUGAAGCAACGCGCAGAACCUUACCAAGCCUUUGACAUCCCGCGCUACACAGAGAGAUUUGUGGUUCCCUUCGGGGACGCGGUGACAGGUGCUGCAUGGCUGUCGUCAGCUCGUGUCGUGAGAUGUUGGGUUAAGUCCCGCAACGAGCGCAACCCUGUCCUUAGUUGCCAUCAUUUGGUUGGGCACUCUAAGGAAACUCCGGUGAUAAGCCGGAGGAAGGUGGGGAUGACGUCAAGUCCUCAUUGGCGGGCAGGCCACACGUACGGCGGCAGUAGGCACAAGCACGCGAGUGUACUAAUCUCCAAAGCCGUCUCAGUCCGCGUUCUCUAGCCACUCCAGAGCAUGAAGGCAUCCGGUAUAGACCAGUAGGCCUAAAGCAGG
rnacentral:rRNA from 1 species